AUUGAACGCUGGCGGCAGGCUUAACACAUGCAAGUCGAGCGGAGCGAGGGUGCUUGCACCUUAGCUUAGCGGCGGACGGGUGAGUAAUGCUUAGGAAUCUGCCUAUUAGUGGGGGACAACAUUCCGAAAGGAAUGCUAAUACCGCAUACGCCCUACGGGGGAAAGCAGGGGAUCUUCGGACCUUGCGCUAAUAGAUGAGCCUAAGUCGGAUUAGCUAGUUGGUGGGGUAAAGGCCUACCAAGGUGACGAUCUGUAGCGGGUCUGAGAGGAUGGUCCGCAAAACGGGAACGGAGACAGUGCCCAGACACCAACGGGAGGCAGCAGUGGGGGAUAUUGGAGAAGGGACGAAAGGCUGAUCCAGCCAUGCCGCGUGAAGGAUUAAGGUCCUCUGGAUUGUAAACUCCUGUCGUGCGGGACGAAUGCCUCGGUCGUGAACAACGGCCGGGGUUGACGGUACCGCAGGAGGAAGCCCCGGCUAACUCCGUGCCAGCCGCCGCAGUAACAC
rnacentral:rRNA from 1 species